rnacentral:snoRNA from 1 species
CCACUGGAUGAUGAUGAACUAGUGGAAUACAUCCUCGCUGGCCUUGACGAGGAAUAUGACUCUGUUGUCAACGCGGUUCACGCGGAGGUUUAGG